GAACGCUAGCGGCAGGCUUAAUACAUGCGAAGUCGUGGGGCAGCAGGUUUGUAGCAAUACAGAUGCUGGCGACCGGCAAACGGGUGCGGAACACGUACAGAACCUUCCUUUGAGCGGGGAAUAGCCCAGAGAAAUUUGGAUUAAUACCCCAUAGUAUAAUGAAGUGGCAUCACUUUAUUAUUAAAGAUUUAUCACUCGAAGAUGGCUGUGCGGCUGAUUAGGUAGUUGGCGGGGUAAAGGCCCACCAAGCCUGCGAUCAGUAACUGGUGUGAGAGCACGACCAGUCACACGGGCACUGAGACACGGGCCCGACUCCUACGGGAGGCAGCAGUAAGGAAUAUUGGUCAAUGGAGGCAACUCUGAACCAGCCAUGCCGCGUGGAGGAUGAAGGUCCUCUGGAUUGUAAACUUCUUUUAUAUGGGACGAAAAAAGGCUUUUCUAAGUCGUCUGACGGUACCAUAUGAAUAAGCACCGGCUAACUCCGUG
rnacentral:rRNA from 1 species